UUAAUUGAAGAGUUUGAUCAUGGCUCAGAUUGAACGCUGGCGGCAGGCCUAACACAUGCAAGUCGAGCGGCAGCACAGAGGAACUUGUUCCUUGGGUGGCGAGCGGCGGACGGGUGAGUAAUGCCUGGGAAAUUGCCCGGUAGAGGGGGAUAACCAUUGGAAACGAUGGCUAAUACCGCAUAACCUCGCAAGAGCAAAGCAGG
rnacentral:rRNA from 1 species